AGCGGGAGCUGGGAGUGAAAAGGUUGGUGGGUUCUGGUGGCGUAAGGUGUAGAAUAGAAGCUCCUCCCAGUUGCUUGAGUACACCUGGGAACUAAGAAAAUAAGAAAUGUAAUGACAAGAAGGCAGCUCAUCAAGCCAAAGCGAUGAUUCAUUUUCUUUUGCUUUUGGAGAAUGUUAGUGAAAGGGAUAUUGGAUAUACAUGUAUAUAUAUAUAUAUAAAG
rnacentral:misc_RNA from 1 species